rnacentral:lncRNA from 1 species
UAACUCCUAUAAAAUUUCAUCGAAUCGCUUCGAUCCAAAUUAGCCAAAAAUUCCUGAGGAUGUAACGAACAAUUUGUAAAAAGAAUUUUGUCGCUUUCUUAUUUUGUUACGAAGGAGAUGCACACACAUGACAAACAGUGAAUAGGGAGAUAACUCUUACAAAGAAAAUGGUUCGGCUUAGCAGGGUGAAAUUUAAAAGCGCAUAAACUAUACGAUACAAUAUGAAAAAAAUCUAAGCGACAUAUUGCGAAACAAACAUUUAUCGCAAGAACAAAAUUUGGCGGAAAAAAAAAAAAAAAUAAUAAUAAUAAUCAGAACAAAUACAAUAGGCUUUCCACAGAAAAGUGGAAAGACCUAAUAAUCAGAACAAAUACAAUAGGCUUUCCACAGAAAAGUGGAAAGACCUAAUAAUAUGGAAAAAACUGGAGUUGUCGUUCGUUUUACGUUGAUAGGAUAGAUAGUACACAACCUACAUUCAGUUGUAAGUGGAGGGUUAAAAAAAAAGGGGGGGGGGCAAAAGGGGGUCUCGGGGAGAUUUUUUUUUUUUUUUUUUAUUAACGGAACAGAAUGGUUAAAAAGGUUUUUUACAAUAUAAAUCAAUUGCUUUAAAAAGCAAUUGUAGGGGGUCUUUCCC